rnacentral:rRNA from 1 species
UACGUAGGGAGCAAGCGUUGUUCGGAUUUACUGGGCGUAAAGGGCGCGUAGGCGGCAAAUUAAGUCAGCUGUGAAAUCUCCGAGCUUAACUCGGAACGGUCAGCUGAUACUGAUCUGCUAGAGUGCGGAAGGGGCAAUCGGAAUUCUUGGUGUAGCGGUGAAAUGCGUAGAUAUCAAGAGGAACACCUGAGGUGAAGACGGGUUGCUGGGCUGACACUGACGCUGAGGCGCGAAAGCUAGGGGAGCAAACGGG